rnacentral:rRNA from 1 species
CCUACGGGGGGCAACAGUGAGGAAUAUUGGUCAAUGGGCGCGAGCCUGAACCAGCCAAGUAGCGUGAAGGAUGACUGCCCUACGGGUUGUAAACUUCUUUUGUCGGGGAGCAAAAGCCGGACGUGUCCGGCUGUGAGAGUACCCGAAGAAAAAGCAUCGGCUAACCCCGUGCCAGCCGCCGCGGUAAGACGGAGGAUGCGAGCGUUAUCCGGAUUUAUUGGGUUUAAAGGGUGCGCAGGAGGAUUUUUAAGUCAGCGGUCAAAUCGUGGGGCUCAACCCCAUCCAGCGGUUGAAACUGGGGAUCUAGAGUGUGCGAGAGGUAUGCGGAAUGCGUGGUGUAGCGGUGAAAUGCAUAGAUAUCACGCAGAACCCCGAUUGCGAAGGCAGCAUACCGGUGCACAACUGACGCUCAGGCACGAAAGCGUGGGUAUCGAACAGGAUUAGAUACCCUAGUAGUC